rnacentral:rRNA from 1 species
AUUGAACUGAAGAGUUUGAUCCUGGCUCAGAUUGAACGCUGGCGGCAUGCCUUACACAUGCAAGUCGAACGGCAGCACGGGUGCUUGCACCUGGUGGCGAGUGGCGAACGGGUGAGUAAUACAUCGGAACGUACCUUAUCGUGGGGGAUAACGCAGCGAAAGCUGUGCUAAUACCGCAUACGCCCUGAGGGGGAAAGCGGGGGAUCGAAAGACCUCGCGCGAUUAGAGCGGCCGAUGCCUGAUUAGCUUGUUGGUGGGGUAAAAGCCCACCAAGGCGACGAUCAGUAGCUGGUCUGAGAGGACGAUCAGCCACACUGGGACUGAGACACGGCCCAGACUCCUACGGGAGGCAGCAGUGGGGAAUUUUGGACAAUGGGGGAAACCCUGAUCCAGCAAUGCCGCGUGAGUGAAGAAGGCCUUCGGGUUGUAAAGCUCUUUUGUCAGGGAAGAAACACCGGCUCUAACACAGUCCGGGAAUGACGGUACCUGAAGAAUAAGCACCGGCUAACUACGUGCCAGCAGCCGCGGUAAUACGUAGGGUGCGAGCGUUAAUCGGAAUUACUGGGCGUAAAGCGUGCGCAGGCG